AAUCUCAGAGGGCAGCGGUCGGUUCGGUCACGCGAGUGUUGGUGCAAAAAAGGUGAAAAAAGGAAAACUUUAGAAAAAUGCAAUAAAUAUUGCACAAAAUAUUAGAAACAUUUUCGCCGACGGCAUUUCUCGUUAAACAAAAGAAAAGUUGCUUGCCCUCUGUACGUUUUAAGCUGUGACGCCCUUAGCUGCUGUAUGCUUUAAGCUGUGACGCCUGGCCAGUACACGGAAUAAAUUAUUUGCGCAAUUAAAUCAAUAAUGCGAAUGCUUUUUUGCAUAUAAGUGAUUAAUAAUCCUAUAAUAAUGUUUUCAAAUCAGCAGCAGAUCAAAAAGGAGGGAAUGCAGAGAUGGAGCGCAAAAAGUGAACGGAGCCGCAGAUAGCCUGAAAUGUGUGUGCAAAAAGGAAAGCGGAAAGAGGAAGCAGUAUGAAAAGCAGUGGUGAAGUGAAGUGAAGUGCAGUGCAAGUGCAAGUGAAGUGCAGUGCAAGUGAAGUGAUGGAAGAGCAGUAGGAACUGGACAAAGCAAGGCUGGAAAAUGAGUAACGAAUUCCAAGAAAUGAAAAAUAUAAACAAUUUCUACGUUUUUUUUUCGCGUUUUAUAUAAUGUUACACAAAAUAUUGCAUAAAAUCAAAUUUCGCACAAUUUUUUUCGAGUGUUAUGCAUAUGAAAGCGAUAUGGCCAUCAUGGAAGCAAAGCGAAGGAAAAGGAAGCAGCAUAAAAUGAGAGAGGAAGCAAGGGUGGGAGAAGUGAAGUGCAAGUGAAGUGCAGUGCAAGUGAAGUGCAGUACAAGUGCAAUUGAAGAGAUGGUAAAACAGUAGGAACUAGAAAAAGCAAUACUGGAAUAUCAGUAAAUGAAUAUUAUAAACAUUUUUACCUUUUUGUCGAGUGUUAUACAGUGUUAUAUAAAAUCAAAUUUCACCAAAUUUUUUUCGAGUGUAUAUGAAAGCGAAAUAUGUGAGAAGGAAGAAAAGCGUCGCAAAAGAAAGCAGUAUACAAGUGAAAGAAUGAGAAGCAAAGCCGAAAAAAGUGGAAAAAGUGUAGUGAAGGGAAAGAAGGAGGAUCAGUAGAGCAAAAAGGAGCAAGGCUGCAUAUUUCCCAAAACGAAAGCGAAAGCGAAAAAUGUGUAAUACAUUGUUAUACAACGAAGACAAUUUUGUUGCCACACAUCGCAAAAAGUGAAGCGAAACUGGAUGAAGAAAAAGCUUUUCCUGGCACACGUAUGUUGUAGGUUAAAUCCAUAAAUAUUUGUGAUUUUUAUGGAUUAAACCCAACACAAUAUGCAAAGGAAUCCGAGGGCGAAGAAGGAGGUUUGGCAGAACCCGAACGCAACGGCCAAGAAUGCAACCCUGGACCGAUCGUGGUGGAAUAUUAUCAUCGAAGAGACGGCCGAUUGGCUCUAUUGGUACAAAAAAAAAAACGGUACAGGUCGCAAAACCCCGGGUUUUAUAGACAAAAUGAAUCGAAAGACCAGGCUGCAAAUGAAAGCAAAAGAAACGAAGGACGGCUAGUGGAAAUCAAUGGAAACAUGAUGAAAGUUUUUCGAUCGAAGCUGGGAGCACAACUGUACCUGGAACACUCCCGUAGACACAGGCAAGUGUCAAAUGUCAGGCAUCAACAAAAUGAUUGUGGAGCCCUCGACGGACUCCUCCCUGGACUCCGCAGAGCCCGGCUGUUGUUGGUGCCAAAAUCGAAAAUAUUGCUGCUUUGUGAUUAUAUUUUUACUCUGUUUCAUAGCAUUAAUAUGCGUGGCCGUGUAUUUCGGACAGAAGCGUUAGCCACAGGACACUUAUUAAACAUUUAAAGGGUAUGGGGUACCCCCCCCCCUCGCCCCCGCAUCACCAAAAGAUUGUAGAUACAUC